CCAGUCGUAGAUGCUUUUCUGAGGAUUGGU
rnacentral:piRNA from 1 species